rnacentral:rRNA from 1 species
CAGCAGUCAAGAAUAUUAGUCAAUGCUCGCAAGAGUGAACUAGCUAACUGAAAUAACAUGACCCAUUACGUAUGGUGAAUGUUAUAACGUAAGGGAAAAAAAUGAUAUUACCUUACUAUUAGUGUUGUCCAAAACUGGUGCCAGAAGACUCGGUAAGACCAGAAACGCAAACGUUAGUCGUCUUAAUCAGGCGUAAAGGGUAUGUAGGCUGCUUUAAAAGUUCUAUAUUUAAAAUAGCUCUGUUUAAUAAAAAAAAAUGAAUUAUUUAUUUCUCUUUAUUGUAGAAUAAAAAUUUAAAAUUUGACAGUAAAAAUAUAAAUGAAUUAAAGCUAGAAUCAAAUUGAGGAUAAUUAAAAUAAUACUUAGAGUAGGGUUUGAAUCUGGUGAUACUAAGGGGAAUACUAACGGUGAAAGCUUUUUAUCUAGAAAUGAUUGACGCUGAGAAACGAAGGUGAGAAUAGGAAAUAGGAUUAGAUACCCAGAUACCUCUCACAGUCAACGAUGAAUGGUGGUUGUUAGUUAGUUUAAUUUAACUGAUAACGAUGUUAACACGAUAACCAUUCCGCCUUGCGAGUACGGUUGCAAAACUGAAACCAAAAAAAUUAGUCGGUCUCGAAGCAAACGAAGUGAAGCAUGUUAUUUAAUUCGAUAAUCCGCA